ACACAGAGGAACUACACGCACGGCACUGACAUGGGGCCGUCCGGCUGUUGCCCAGGUGCAGUCGCACACCCUCCUCGCCGCUGACGCAGCGCUCCUGCACCACAGGCUCCCGCGGGGGCUCCGGUCCUUCCCCCCGCCGCUCCGUGCGAGCCAAAACUGAGCUGCCACUUGCUCAGCCGAUUCUGGGAUGCAGGGAGGAGAAGAGAAAGCCGGGGCAGCAGUUCAGUUCGGGAGGUGAAGCGGAUGCUGAUUCCACUGUCAUCCCACUGCCUGAGAUCACUCUGACCAGCAGAGGUGGUGGAAGUGAGGCUGCUUUGAGGCUGGGCAGCUGCUGCCUCGGUCUCUGGGACCCGAGCCGCCCUAUGCAUGGUCCGACGACACUGAUAAAGAGUUCGCAUGGAGAUGCUCUGAGAUCCAAGGAGAGGUGGAGGGAACAGGGGACCCUAGCCGCCCCCAACAAGGCACCAGAUGUGAGAGUGAAGUCCAUAGAUGCUCCCAGGACACCUGCUGAGCGCCACCCAGCCACCCAGUGACCCAGCUGGGGCGGCACAGGGCAGAACAAUUGCCCAGUUUCCUUACAGCGUUGAGAUGCUACCAGGAGAGGUCGGAUACUGAUGGAAGGAGCGUGAUCUCCACCCCUGGACGAAACCUCCUGAGUGCUGCUUGUCACAGAGCCUGGUAAAUAGUUUCAAUCUGCAGCAAGACGCCCUGUUCUGGCCCACGGAAGAAGAGGUAAAGUAUGAAAUAAGUGGGCGGGUGGCCUUAUCACACAUUCUUUCCAUAAUAACAGAGAUUUUGGAGUUGAACA